UGGUGACUAUAGCAAGGAGGUCACACCUGUUCCCAUGCCGAACACAGAAGUUAAGCUCCUUAGCGUCGAUGGUAGUCGAACUUAGGCAAAAAUGGAUGCGAUGAGCC
rnacentral:rRNA from 1 species